GUGAAAAAGAACCUGAAACCGUGUACGUACAAGCAGUGGGAGCACAGAGCAAUCUGUGUGACUGCGUACCUUUUGUAUAAUGGGUCAGCGACUUAUAUUCUGUAGCAAGGUUAACCGAAUAGGGGAGCCGAAGGGAAACCGAGUCUUAACCGGGCGUUAAGUUGCAGGGUAUAGACCCGAAACCCGGUGAUCUAGCCAUGGGCAGGUUGAAGGUUGGGUAACACUAACUGGAGGACCGAACCGACUAAUGUUGAAAAAUUAGCGGAUGACUUGUGGCUGGGGGUGAAAGGCCAAUCAAACCGGGAGAUAGCUGGUUCUCCCCGAAAGCUAUUUAGGUAGCGCCUCGUGAAUUCAUCUCCGGGGGUAGAGCACUGUUUCGGCAAGGGGGUCAUCCCGACUUACCAACCCGAUGCAAACUGCGAAUACCGGAGAAUGUUAUCACGGGAGACACACGGCGGGUGCUAACGUCCGUCGUGAAGAGGGAAACAACCCAGACCGCCAGCUAAGGUCCCAAAGUCAUGGUUAAGUGGGAAACGAUGUGGGAAGGCCCAGACAGCCAGGAUGUUGGCUUAGAAGCAGCCAUCAUUUAAAGAAAGCGUAAUAGCUCACUGGUCGAGUCGGCCUGCGCGGAAGAUGUAACGGGGCUAAACCAUGCACCGAAGCUGCGGCAGCGACACUGUGUGUUGUUGGGUAGGGGAGCGUUCUGUAAGCCUGUGAAGGUGUACUGUGAGGUAUGCUGGAGGUAUCAGAAGUGCGAAUGCUGACAUAAGUAACGAUAAAGCGGGUGAAAAGCCCGCUCGCCGGAAGACCAAGGGUUCCUGUCCAACGUUAAUCGGGGCAGGGUGAGUCGACCCCUAAGGCGAGGCCGAAAGGCGUAGUCGAUGGGAAACAGGUUAAUAUUCCUGUACUUGGUGUUACUGCGAAGGGGGGACGGAGAAGGCUAUGUUGGCCGGGCGACGGUUGUCCCGGUUUAAGCGUGUAGGCUGGUUUUCCAGGCAAAUCCGGAAAAUCAAGGCUGAGGCGUGAUGACGAGGCACUACGGUGCUGAAGCAACAAAUGCCCUGCUUCCAGGAAAAGCCUCUAAGCAUCAGGUAACAUCAAAUCGUACCCCAAACCGACACAGGUGGUCAGGUAGAGAAUACCAAGGCGCUUGAGAGAACUCGGGUGAAGGAACUAGGCAAAAUGGUGCCGUAACUUCGGGAGAAGGCACGCUGAUAUGUAGGUGAAGUCCCUCGCGGAUGGAGCUGAAAUCAGUCGAAGAUACCAGCUGGCUGCAACUGUUUAUUAAAAACACAGCACUGUGCAAACACGAAAGUGGACGUAUACGGUGUGACGCCUGCCCGGUGCCGGAAGGUUAAUUGAUGGGGUCAGCGCAAGCGAAGCUCUUGAUCGAAGCCCCGGUAAACGGCGGCCGUAACUAUAACGGUCCUAAGGUAGCGAAAUUCCUUGUCGGGUAAGUUCCGACCUGCACGAAUGGCGUAAUGAUGGCCAGGCUGUCUCCACCCGAGACUCAGUGAAAUUGAACUCGCUGUGAAGAUGCAGUGUACCCGCGGCAAGACGGAAAGACCCCGUGAACCUUUACUAUAGCUUGACACUGAACAUUGAGCCUUGAUGUGUAGGAUAGGUGGGAGGCUUUGAAGUGUGGACGCCAGUCUGCAUGGAGCCGACCUUGAAAUACCACCCUUUAAUGUUUGAUGUUCUAACGUGGACCCGUGAUCCGGGUUGCGGACAGUGUCUGGUGGGUAGUUUGACUGGGGCGGUCUCCUCCUAAAGAGUAACGGAGGAGCACGAAGGUUGGCUAAUCCUGGUCGGACAUCAGGAGGUUAGUGCAAUGGCAUAAGCCAGCUUGACUGCGAGCGUGACGGCGCGAGCAGGUGCGAAAGCAGGUCAUAGUGAUCCGGUGGUUCUGAAUGGAAGGGCCAUCGCUCAACGGAUAAAAGGUACUCCGGGGAUAACAGGCUGAUACCGCCCAAGAGUUCAUAUCGACGGCGGUGUUUGGCACCUCGAUGUCGGCUCAUCACAUCCUGGGGCUGAAGUAGGUCCCAAGGGUAUGGCUGUUCGCCAUUUAAAGUGGUACGCGAGCUGGGUUUAGAACGUCGUGAGACAGUUCGGUCCCUAUCUGCCGUGGGCGCUGGAGAACUGAGGGGGGCUGCUCCUAGUACGAGAGGACCGGAGUGGACGCAUCACUGGUGUUCGGGUUGUCAUGCCAAUGGCACUGCCCGGUAGCUAAAUGCGGAAGAGAUAAGUGCUGAAAGCAUCUAAGCACGAAACUUGCCCCGAGAUGAGUUCUCCCUGACCCUUUAAGGGUCCUGAAGGAACGUUGAAGACGACGACGUUGAUAGGCCGGGUGUGUAAGCGCAGCGAUGCGUUGAGCUAACCGGUACUAAUGAACCGUGAGGCUUAACCUUACAACGCCGAAGGUGUUU
rnacentral:rRNA from 1 species